UUUACAGAUUGGCUUGUCCUAUUUUCACCACAUCUUGCUUUAGAAAUAUAACUGUGCAGUGCCCCAUCUUCUAUCAGCCCAUCAGGAAUGAACAUUUAUAAGCAAAUGUAUAAAUGUGUAUGCAAUGCAAAAAUCUUUCCUAUCCUUUUGCUUUCUUUGACAUUUUCCCCUACCGAUAAUUAUCUAUUUCAGGAAGAAUCCCAACUUGCCAAGAUUACUCGUGAUAGUGCAAAGAUAAACGUUGAGCAGAUUCAUGGUUUGAUGUCACAAGUUAUAAAUGAUAUACUUUUCAACACAGUUCGGUCUGUCUAACAAAUCUUCAUCAGAUUCAUCUGGUCCAGAUCUGAUGGUUGAAACCUAGUCUCAUGGUUGACAAGUUAUGCUACCUGGACUUGAUCCUCUUAGAAUUUCUUGGAAGUUCUUGCAUUUCCAAAUACUGAUAUCUGCAACGACUUGACUAGUCAAAUGUGGGCUCUAGAAAACGAGAGAGUUUAUGCUUAUGUUCAAUCUUUUGCACUUUGAGAUUAAUGACAGUAAUUUGUUUGUCA